rnacentral:misc_RNA from 1 species
CCUUAAAGAACCUGCCUUUGCAGUGCUCACACAGAUUGUUUGAUAAAUGAAUAAUUUCAAAAUGUACUGUUAAGUGCAUUGUGAAAUUUUGCUCUUUAAAAAUCUGGAUCAAGCUGAAAAUUGAAACGACACACAUGUUAUGUGUGUUCGAGUCUCUCAAAUUUUCGCAAUCAGAAGUGAAACAUCUUCGGGUUGUGA